rfam:Stegodyphus mimosarum contig70399, whole genome shotgun sequence.
GCCUUUGUGGUGUAGUGGUCAACACGCUCGACGCGUAACCGAGAGGACCGUGGCUCGCUUCCCGGUGAACGCG